AAAUGUCAAAGGAAACUCUUCUGUUCUUGUUGCUGACCAAAAAUGGGGUGGAGCUGCAAUACAAUAACUUCAUCGGGGCUCCAACCACCACAUCGUUGAAGCCAUCGAGGUUGAGGUCGGGCGCCUCGGCGAUGGCCAUGCCAAAACGAGCAUUCUCCGAGGAGAACGGCCCAUCCAGAAAGCCCUGAUCACUGAGAACGCCCUGAAACAGACAGAGGAACCGGGUUCAAAUAACGCCAAGAGACGUGCCUAUCCCACCAACGUCCAAAAUGUUUUCCGCUGAUUCUUCAGCUCCUAAAUUCCACAUAGUGACACACGUUCGGCACUGUGAGUGUGCUUCACCUUUGUGACGGAGAAGAUGUGCACCUUUCCCUUUUCCUUUUUGAAUUCGCUCAUGAACAUUGGAGCCCCGACCAACAGCACAUCGGCCACACUGUCUUUAUCCACAUCCAGGGGGCACAAGACGCUGCCGAAAUAGGAGCCAAUCUAGGAUCGCAAGCAAAGAGCGACAAAAGACAGACCUAUUGCAUGACUCAGAAAAUCAUGUUAGCCUAAUAUAAAUGCAACUGCAUAUUUUAAGUGUUUGUUAGCAUGUUUACAGAAAAAACCUACCUGCUCUCCUCUUUCUGAAUCGAUGACUGUUGGCUGCCCUUGGGCAUUGAUAGUGUAGACUAUGACUUGACCUGUGUGAUUGGAACGAGGUGCACCAGCAACGUAGUAUUCUGUGUUUCCAUCAGACAGUGUUGUCACAGAGUAGCCUGCACAAAUACAGGAAGCAUAUAGUUGUGAUCUGCCCAGGGUAUUUCUGGCAGUACCACAUCCUGUUUCCUCAACAGUGGUAGGUACUACAUAUAAAAGCAUAUUUACUAAGAGGAUAGAAUGCAGUCCAAGCUUGUUUUUCAGCAGUCUGUAAUGCAACAUUGGGGAAAUGCUUACUGAUAUAAAACAAAAAUGAUGAGAAAAAAACACCACCAAGUUCUGAAAACAAGACAAAACUGCGUAUUUGACCCAGUAUUGAACUGAUAUUAAAUAACAGCCCAAUGGUAUUACCCAAUAAAGAACUGUGGUUUCGGUCUUCCAA